AAACCUGCAUCUUAUGCAUUGGCAAGUGAAUUCUUCACCACUGAGCCAUCAGGAAAGCUCCUACAGAUGUUCCUUAAAACCUUUGUGGAAAAUCCAAGUGAAUUAAUUAAACAAGAAUCAGCCUUGGACACAUUCCAAGAUUCAGUGAUAAUUGCAGCUGGAAGGGAUGAAAUAGCCCACGAUCUUCACCCCUAAUAGAAAGAAGAUCCUAUUCACUUAGUACCUGGCAUAACAAUUUCAGGAGGUCCAUUCUUAGACUUAUAGCAUGAUUUAAAAAGUAUCAUGGGAAUGUCUUUCAAAAUUUCAGUUAACGAGUCUGGUCAUGUUAAUAUGACGGAGUGAAAAGAACUGAACAGUCAAAUGCUAUUUUUCUUUUUGAAGUUAGUAGGAAAGAAGUUACUUGUGAAAAAUUUCCCUGCCAAAUAACUAGUUAAUUUCUUCUAUGUAUAUGUAGGAUUUGCUUGGCAUUUUGAUAUAUUUCCUAAUGUAAUAAACUUGUUUUUCAGUGUGUGCACCAUGGUAUUCCUUUCAAAUAAUCUACACUGCAUAUAAAAAUCUGAAUAAUCAGAAGACUCCAUGAAGCAAAUGGACAGACAGUCAAAUAAACUAUAUGCUCAAGUGAUAAGGUGGCCUUUUGCCCUCUUUGUCAAACUGGAUGAAAAAUAAUUCCAAGUGUUUAUGAGUAACUUCAAGUUAUUCUUCAGGUUCUGAACAAGCGUCCAGAAGGUAAACUGCUUUAAUAUGUGAAGUCAGCUCCUGUCCAGAUCAGAUGGAAUCAAGAAAUAAUGUAACGUACUUUGUCCUUCUGGGCCUCACACAGAAUCCAAAGGAGCAGAAAGUCCUUUCUGUUUUGUUCCUGUUCAUCUACCUUUUGACUCUGUGUGUGCACCGUGGAAUUGCUUUCAAAUAAUCUACACUGCACUUAAAAUGACCUGAAUAAUCAGAAGACUCCAUGAAGCAAAUGGAUGGACAGUCAAAUAAACUAUAUGCUCAAGUAAUAAAUUGGCCCCUU
rnacentral:lncRNA from 1 species